AGCUAGGAUUUAGUGACAUAUUUUAAAAUAUAUCCAUUCUUUAAAUUAACAUACAUUUUGCCAUUCAGUAUAUCUUAACACUUCUUAAGCAGAAUAUCCUUUAGGUACUUAAUUGUUCAAUAACUUGUGCUGAACUUACUGGAUGUGAUGUAUUGGAUUUACGAGGAAUUAAUUUAUCUCAAUAUCCAACAAUAAUGUGAAAUAAAAAUACACUUUCCCUGCAAAUGUUACCGGCUGAUUUAGCAUACUAUAACCAUUACUGUAUAAAUAUCAAAUACUGAGAGCACUCUGCAUAACCAAAGUGUAUAUUUCUAGAAUUAUAUCGGCUAUGAAGCUGAAAAAUGUGGAACUUUGAUGGUACAUGGAACCUGUUGAAGAAACAGAUAUUUUCCUAUACUGUUACUGAUUAAUCAUUUAUCCAUUGACCUUCUAACCACUUAUCAUUGGGGCUAUACUACUGGUCCUGAAUGCCUACCUCAUAAAUGUAUGACAUUAAUAUCCUGGUACCUUUCUUUUAAGUCUCGGAAUCGAGAGGAAGGAAGAGAUCCCGCUCACCAAGCAAGGAUGAGGGAUGCCCAAUAAAAAAGGGGAGGAGGAAGCUUUAUUCACAAGGCAGAAUUCAUCCCUCGACAUCCUCAGCCAAAGCCCAGAAGGGCCCCUUUAAAGGACAAAGUGGCUACAGUGAAUCCGCAGCUGGGAGUGGCACCGGAGGUGGUCCAGCACUUCGGACCAAACUCCUACAUGAAGUUAGUCAACAGCUGAGGCUAAGGAAAAUGGAGGCUGCAGCUUUGGAUGAUGCAGGCCACUCAACUUUGAGUCCCAAAUCCACCACCUCUAAUUCUAAAGAACGACUGGAGGAUUUUUUCUCUAGAGGGGCUCUAAUUGGUAGUGGAGGGUUUGGCAGCGUAUUCGCCGGAAUCCGGAAGGACGACGGAUUACCAGUAAGAUAUUAUAUCUUACAAUAGGUCUCAACAUGCAUAUACAUAUAUAGUAUGUGCAGUCUUUAUGGAUUCCAUGUUCUUAUAAGAAGUGCAUUUGAAUUUAUGUCAGUUUUUUAUGUUUGGUUAUGUGCAAAUUCUCUCUAUAAAAAUCAUGUCUAAUCUUCCCAGGUUGCAAUCAAAGAAGUGCGCAGAGAGGAAAAGGAAGAGGUAGACAUAGUAAGUAGCUUGUAGGACGACACACUAACAUUUAACAAGGGAUAAGUGUGUUUUCUGCUCCCUGCAUUGUCUCUUUUAUCUGCUUCAACAACCUCACCGCCUGCACUUGGGGGAAAGAUGCCAAAGGAGGUGGCUUUGAUGAAGCAGCUGAGCAUCCCUCCGGCUUGCCCCUACAUCGUCAAGCUUGUUGAGUGGUACGGCGAUCAUGCAAGCCAUGCAAUAGUGAUGGAGAGACCUGAGCCGUGUCUGAACCUCUAUCACUUUUGCAUGGAACGCGGUGGCUACAUGAGUGAGGAGCUGGCACA